GCUACGGGAGGCAGCAGUGGGGAAUAUUGGGCAAUGGAGGAAACUCUGACCCAGCAAUGCCGCGUGAAUGAAGAAGGUCUUCGGAUUGUAAAGUUCUUUAGUCAGGGAAGAAUAAAAUGACGGUACCUGAAGAAUAAGCUCCGGCUAACUACGUGCCAGCAGCCGCGGUAAUACGUAGGGAGCAAGCGUUGUUCGGAAUGACUGAGCGUAAAGGGUGCGCAGGCGGAGGUGCAAGUCAGCGGUCAAAUUGCGGGGCUCAACCCCGUACUGCCGUUGAAACUGCAGCCCUUGAGUGCGCGAGAAGUAUGCGGAAUGCGUGGUGUAGCGGUGAAAUGCAUAGAUAUCACGCAGAACUCCGAGUGCGAAGGCAGCAUACCGGCGCGCAACUGACGCUCAUGCACGAAAGCGUGGGUAUCGAACAGGAUUAGAUACCCGAGUAGUC
rnacentral:rRNA from 1 species